AUUAAUUAGCAAAAGAAAAAAAAAAUUUUUUUUACCCUUUUGGAUACAUCAGUUGGUUCAUUUUUGCGCAUGCAAGCAAUUAAUCAAGCAAAUGGUAAUUUGAGAAAUUGAAGCCAAUCAAAGGUAGCUUAAUUGAUCUUCCUUUACUUUGAAAGAUCUAGAGUUCAAAUUUCUCCAUUUACCUAAGAUCACUAUAUGGUGG
rnacentral:misc_RNA from 1 species